CACUCAGGAUGUGACGUUCAGGUGACGUUCAGGUGCUUGGGCCGUGUUCAGGUGACGUGCCUCACAGUAGCUUCCGGUUCCGGUUCCUCGACGCUGCUGCUGCUGCUGACUGACGCACGGACACGCUUCCUCCGGACCACAACGGGACUCUGCAGAACGACGAACAGACGGAGAAGACACACAGAAGAAGGAGAACAUGCUGGAAACUAAAGACCCGGACCCGGAGCGUGCAAGGGGGACACGAGACGAAGCUGCAGACCUGAAGAACAGCUGAUGGGAGGAGCACGUGUCUGUGAUGAAGUGGCUUCCUGGUGGCAAAAUAAAGUGCUGCAACUACCAGGAGAGUGUCCACCUGAACUAAAACUAAACUGAGCUUUAAAGGGACAUUUCACUGAGGGGGACCGGCUGACCCGAGGUGCUCCAUGACCCGGAGGUUGGGGUGUCCAGAAAGGGCGGCGGCCUCGGGGCCUCUUGGCUGGGCUCUUCUUUCCCUCUUCUCCUCCUCCUUCCCUCUGCUCCGUGAGCAUUACGUCUCAGGACGAGAGACACGACCUGAGGAGGACAGCAUACUCUAGCCUGCCUUACUCAAAGAAGAAAGAAGAAGAAGAUCCAUGGAGAAGAAGAGUGUCAAGAAGAAUGAGUUACUCUAAACAGAACUGGAGUGGACACAAGAACAUGAGAACUGAUCUGAGGUCCUGAUUCAUCGACCUGGGGAGGACAGCAAUACUGUAGCCUGUCUUAUCCAAAGAAGAUGGAGAAGAAGAAGAAGAUCCACGGAGAAGAGAAGAAGAAAAGACGUGGAGUGAAGAGUGUCGAGAAGAGGUGAGUCAGAUUAGAGCAGAGAGUUAAUCAGUGGCUGCAGGAAGUCUGGGUCUGUGAGGCCACGUGGUUGGGGAGCUGCAUGCUGCAUGGACUUCAGGGAGGAUUUGUUUGUCAGACUCUUCCUGUCCAAAUAAUGUUAAUUGAAAUGGAUCCAGCUGGGUAGUCUGUUGAAAAGGAUCAAACAAAGGCAACAUCCCAAGCUGCUGAACCCAGAGGUCAACACCUUUUCACCAAUAAGGAUCCAGCUCGGAUGAGGAGGUCCUGCCUGGAGAUCUGAAUUGCUUGUUUGGCUGAAUCUGCACUUCCAAGAGGGAGGAACUCCUCUGCUAACUCAAGGCGUGCUCAUUCAUCUGAGUCCACAUCACACACAUUAUAAUGUGACUGCUAAGUGGACUUGUCCAUCGGCGGGGUCUGGACCAGGAGGAUAGAAGAGCAGUGUGAGAAGAUGGACGAGCACCAAACAGCAGCUUGAGCAGCUCAUCAGAUCCCUCAAAGCCAAGAGCCGAGGAUCCCGGCAGCAGACUAGAAGUAUCUCCAAGAAGAUGACCAGUAUUUACAGGAUUGGGCUCAACCAGGGACCCUCACUGCUACAGGAAGGUGUACCUGCACCUGAUGGUGUUCAAAAUGGUUCUUCACUUGCAUCUUUGAUGUCCUCUUGAACAAGAGCAAGGAGCCGGACCCCCGUGCAGAAGCUGUUCCUGAAAAGAGAUCCAGCGCUAUGCCAACAAGAAGAAGUGAUUGUAAAUGUAUUUGUUCAAACUAAAUCUAAUUGUUGAGCCUAAAUCUUCAGUAUUCAACGUUAAAUGUAAAUUUUGAACAAUAGAUGUAAUUGUUCAACCUAAAUCUAGUAGUUUAAUGUUCAAUCCAAAUGUUUAACGUUAAAUUUAAAUGAUCAACAUUAAAUGUGAAUGUUCAACCUGAA